rnacentral:rRNA from 1 species
GAUGAACGCUGGCGGCGUGCCUAAUACAUGCAAGUCGAGCGAACAGACGAGGAGCUUGCUCCUCUGACGUUAGCGGCGGACGGGUGAGUAACACGUGGAUAACCUACCUAUAAGACUGGGAUAACUUCGGGAAACCGGAGCUAAUACCGGAUAAUAUAUUGAACCGCAUGGUUCAAUAGUGAAAGACGGUUUUGCUGUCACUUAUAGAUGGAUCCGCGCCGCAUUAGCUAGUUGGUAAGGUAACGGCUUACCAAGGCAACGCUGCGUAGCCGACCUGAGAGGGUGAUCGGCCACACUGGAACUGAGACACGGUCCAGACUCCUACGGGAGGCAGCAGUAGGGAAUCUUCCGCAAAGGGCGAAAGCCUGACGGAGCAACGCCGCGUGAGUGAUGAAGGUCUUCGGAUCGUAAAACUCUGUUAUUAGGGAAGAACAAAUGUGUAAGUAACUAUGCACGUCUUGACGGUACCUAAUCAGAAAGCCACGGCUAACUACGUG